GGGGGUAUAGUUCAGUGGUAGAGCAUUUGACUGCAGAUCAAGAGGUCCCUGGUUCAAAUCCAGGUGCCCCCU
rnacentral:tRNA from 1 species